AUACCCCUACGGGGGGCAGCAGUGGGGAAUAUUGCACAAUGGGGGAAACCCUGAUGCAGCGACGCCGCGUGAGUGAAGAAGUAUUUCGGUAUGUAAAGCUCUAUCAGCAGGGAAGAAAAUGACGGUACCUGACUAAGAAGCCCCGGCUAACUACGUGCCAGCAGCCGCGGUAAUACGUAGGGGGCAAGCGUUAUCCGGAUUUACUGGGUGUAAAGGGAGCGUAGACGGUGAUGCAGGUCAGAAGUGAAAGCCCG
rnacentral:rRNA from 1 species